UACGGGGGGGCGAGCGUUGUCCGAAGUUACUGGGCGUAAAGCGCGUGUAGGCGGGUUGUUAAGUCCGCUGUGAAAGCCCGGUGCUCAACGCCGGAGGGUCGGUGGAUACUGGCAGUCUUGAAGUGGCUAGGGGGAAAUGGAAUUACCGGUGUAGCGGUGAAAUGCGUAGAUAUCGGUAGGAACACCAGUGGCGAAGGCGGUUCCUGGAGCUAACUUGACGCUGAGACGCGAAAGCUGGGGAGCAAACGGG
rnacentral:rRNA from 1 species